GUCCCUUUGGUGACAUUCGAUAAAAUUGGAAUGAUACAAGGAAGAUUAGCAUGGCUCUUGUGUAAGGAUGACAUGCACAAAUCACGAAAUGGUCCAAUUUAUU
rfam:Cucumis melo, WGS project CAJI01000000 data, contig: 17812